UAGAGAGGCGUAGCAAGGUUAGGAGGUUGGUAGGAGAGGAGAUGGUUAGGAAUUGUUGGAGUUGGUACUGGUUGCCCCAAAGGCCCGUGAACAGGAUUCUGGAAGCUGUAAGAAUUGAUGGGGAACACUUGAGGGACACCUGCUAUGUUCUUCUGCUGACUGUAUUCCAGCAUUAAGAAAGACUGGGAGCAAGCUAAAGUUGUAGAACUAUCAGAAUAAAGUAAGAGAUGGAAGAGACCAGAAUGUCAGAUGGACAAGUAGUUUUGCACACCAGUUUGUGAACUGGGGUUCAUCUAUGGUGAAGUUGCUACAGAUCAGCAGAGAAAUAAGAAAAAAAUAUAGUGAGUUUUUCAUUUAGUUAAACUUACUCUUAAUGAUUGUGCAUUAUAUUGAAAUUGUUCAUUCUAUUUCUUUUAUCCAGUGACAGUUAUAGAGUAGUUAUUUUCUAAAUAAUUUUCUUUGAAGAAAUAUUUGUUUCUAACUUUAUCUGCUCCCAUUUGGUUUAUUUUAUUUCUGAAAUUUUUCUUGGUCCACGAGAUCCUAAAGUCUAGCAAUUACUGAGAUAGAGAAUGGCCACCAAUUUCAGCAAUCAUAAUGCUGGUGUGAUUCUAGUCUACUUACUUUAUCUGCUAUAUGUAUUCUCUGUAUUCUUUCUGGAUAUGACUUAGUCUAAGCCUGAGGGUGGAUCUGAGCUUGAUGGUGUUUGGAAGAUAAGAAGUGGUUGUAACUGGCAGAUGGUACUAGACCCCAAAGUAAGACAUUAUUCAUUCUUGAUGCAGUUUAUAUAGAUGAAAUGAAGUUUCUGUUUGUUACUGUAUUACAUGAAAAUAGGUAGAUGGAAUUUUGCCAUCCAUGGAGAAUAUGUUUGUGUUAGUCUGACUUAAAAUAAUAAGUUAAUAAAAUUCACUUUGAGGGAAUGUGGGAGGUGGGCACUGCUGUCAACCUUUUGGUAUGUGUCUUCACAUCUCUCUAUACAAAUAUCCCUUGGUGGUUUUAAAAUAUGGCUAUGACUUCUUUGAUGUCCUUCCCAUAAAAAGAUAUACUUUGUGUCUUCUCCUCUUAAAUCUGGAUGGGCUUAUGAUUGAUUUAUACAAGAGAAUAUAGAGAAAGUGAUCAUAGUCACCAUAUGUGACUGAAGUCACCAUAUGUGACCAUAUGAUCUGAAGUCACCACUUCAGAGGCUAGGUCAUAAAAGGCCAUGCAGUCUGUUGAAACCCUUGCUUUUGCAGCUCUCAGCCAUCAUGUAAGAAGUCUGACUACCUGAGUCCCAUGUGCUGUGAAAAGCCCAGGGCAAUAGGGAGACCCCUUGAAUGUACUCUGAUUGACAGUCACAGCUGAGCCCAGCCCUCCAGUUAGCCUAGGUGCCAGAUAUGAGAAUGGAGAAGCAGAUUCCAGCUCUCAGCCAUUUAGUUACCCUUCAGCCUUUUCAGCCUUCCCAGCUGAGGACAUAGACUUGUGGACCAAAGUGAGCCUUUCCUGCUCUGUCUUGUCCUAAUUCCUGACCUGAAGAAUCCACGAUUUUAAUAGAAUGGAAAACAAGACACAGACUGGGAGAAAUAUUUGCAAAAAAAAAAAAAAUACAUCUGAUAAAGGACUGUUAUCCAAAAAUGUUUAAAGAACUGUUAAAACUCAACAAUAAGAAAACAAAAGCUCGUUUAAAAAAUGGGCCAACACCUUUACAGACCUCACUAAAGAAGAUAUACAGAUGUAAAAUAAGUAUAUGCCAAGAUGCGCCACAUCAUAUGCCAUCAGGGAAAUGCAAAGUGAAAAAAAAAAAAUGACUUACCACUACACAUCUCUUAGAAUGGCCUAAAUCUAGAAAUUGACAACACCAAAUGCUAGUGAAGAUGUGAAGCAAAAGGAAUUCUCAUACAUUGCUAGUGGGAACACAAAAUGGUACAGCCACUUUGGAAGAUAAUUUGGAAGUUUCUUAUAAAAUGAAAUAUACUCUUACCAUGUGAUCCAGCAAUUGAAUUCUUUACUAUUUACCCAAAGGAGGUGAAACCUUAUGUCCACACAGAAACCUGCACAUUGAUGUUUAUAGCACCUUUAUGCAUAAUUGCCAAAACUUAGAAGCAACCAAGAUGUUUUUCAUUAAAUAAAUGGAUUAAUACACAAUGGUACAUUCAGACUACAGAAUAUUAUUUAGCACUAAAACGAAUUGAGUUACCAUGCUAUGAAAAGACAUGGAGGAACCUUAAAUGAAUACUACUAAGCUGAAAAGGCUACACACUGUGAUUCCAAAUAUGUGACAUUCUGGAAAAGACAAACUAUAGAGACAGUAAAAAAAAAAAGUCAAUGGCUCCCAGACGGGGACAAGGGAGAGAUGAAUGAACAGAGUAUAGAGGAUUUUUAGAGCAAUGAAAAUACUCUAUAAUGUUAAUGAAUGUAUGUCAUUAUGCUUUUGUCCAAAUCCAUAGAAUGUGUAACACCAAGAAUGAACCCUAAGGUAAGCUGUGGAUUUUGGGUGAUUUUGAUGUGUCAGUGUAGAUUCAUCCUUGAUAAAAAAUGUACAAUGCUGGUGGACAAUACUGGUAAUGGGGAGGCUAUGCAUGUGUGGAGGGGCUAGGGAUUAUAUAGGAAUUAUCUGUAUCUUUCAAUUUUGUUUUAAAUAUGAAACUGCUCUGAAAAAACAAUAAAGUUAAAGUCUUAAAAAGAA